rnacentral:lncRNA from 1 species
GACUUUUCAUAAGGGGGGUAGCCUAGUUAAAGAAGUUACAAGGAGAAUGAUUGGUUAAUGUUGGAUCAUAUGUUAGGAUCACAAAUGUUUGGUGAAUUUGGUUUUGUUCCAAGGUAUCAACCCACUUGGAGAAUAUAAUUGGAGGUUUAUGUCAUUACUGAUACUCACAGACUAAGAGUUGCGUAUGAAGAUCAGAUGAUACCAAAUUCUACAAAGCUUUAUGUACAAAGUGAGAGUGAAGCAACUUAACUGUGAUAAACUGUGAUAAAGGUACUAACAAUUGGAACUUAGUCAUGAAGCCAACCUUGGAUCAAGAGACUCGGUACAACAAAUUUUAAAGACUAUAUGAUGUGUAGCAUUUAAAAAGGUUAUGAGGACUAGUCCCUAAUGUCUCCCCAAUCAAUCUCAUCUUAAGGGGGUAGCCUAGAUAAGAAGGUUGCUAAAUGAAGGUUCCAUGCGUUCUAGUGCCUUAGUUGGAAGUAUCUUUUAUGCCUCUGGAUGAGAAGUCAAUAUCAUGUGUAGGUAUUACCCUUGUUUGAGCUAUGAGUAAAAAAAAAAACCUUAUCUAUACAAUGUGCACUACUGAACUCUUGGAAACAAUUGAGGGAGAUGUUCGGAGUGACGAAAGCAAUGGAAUGGCUACUAAGGAGCUACUCGAGGAAGUGAAUAAGGUUCAAAAGUGGAGUGUCCAUGUUUCUUUGAUCACCAUCUUUCGAAUCUCGAGGACGAGAUUCAUCUUAAGGGGGGU